ACGAGGGUGACAGGUGGUGGCAUGGUUGUCGUCAGCUCGUGUCGUGAGAUGUUGGGUUAAGUCCCGCAACGAGCGCAACCCUCGACCUUAGUUGCCAGCAUUCAGUUGGGCACUCUAAGGUGACUGCCGGCUAAAAGUCGGAGGAAGGUGGGGAUGACGUCAAAUCAUCAUGCCCCUUAUGACCUGGGCUACACACGUGCUACAAUGGGCGGUACAAAGGGUCGCGAACCCGCGAGGGGGAGCCAAUCCCAAAAAGCCGCUCUCAGUUCGGAUUGCAGGCUGCAACUCGCCUGCAUGAAGCCGGAAUCGCUAGUAAUCGCGGAUCAGCAUGCCGCGGUGAAUACGUUCCCGGGCCUU
rnacentral:rRNA from 1 species